UACGUAGGUGGCAAGCGUUGUCCGGAUUUACUGGGCGUAAAGCGUGGGCAGGCGGACCUUUAAGUAGGAAGUGAAAAGGCGGGAGCUUAACUCCUGGACUGCUCCCUAUACUGGGGGUCUUGAGUGCCGGAGAGGACGUAGGGAACGGGUUGUGUAGCGGUGAAAUGCGUUGAUAUAACUCGGAACACCAAUGGCGAAAGCACUAGUCUGGACGGCGACUGACGCUCAUCCACGAAAGCCAAGGGAGCGAACAGG
rnacentral:rRNA from 1 species